CCCAAACUGGGAUUAGAUACCCCACUAUGCCUAGCCUUAAACACAAAUAGUCAUGCAAACAAAACUAUUCGCCAGAGUACUACCGGCAAUAGCUUAAAACUCAAAGGACUUGGCGGUGCUUUAUACCCUUCUAGAGGAGCCUGUUCUAUAAUCGAUAAACCCCGAUAAACCUCACCAUUCCUUGCUAAUACAGUCUAUAUACCGCCAUCUUCAGCAAA
rnacentral:rRNA from 1 species